AAAUAUUCUAGUAGCUUAACCAACAAAGC
rnacentral:tRNA from 2 species